rnacentral:rRNA from 1 species
UGGGGAAUAUUGGACAAUGGGCGCAAGCCUGAUCCAGCAAUGCCGCGUGAGUGAGGAAGGCCUUAGGGUUGUAAAGCUCUUUCGCGCGCGACGAUGAUGACGGUAGCGCGAGAAGAAGCCCCGGCUAACUUCGUGCCAGCAGCCGCGGUAAUACGAAGGGGGCGAGCGUUGUUCGGAUUUACUGGGCGUAAAGGGCGCGCAGGCGGCUUGACAAGUCAGGCGUGAAAGCCCCGGGCUUAACCUGGGAACUGCGUCUGGGACUGUCGGGCUAGAGAUCGGGAGAGGAGCGUGGAAUUCCCAGUGUAGAGGUGAAAUUCGUAGAUAUUGGGAAGAACACCGGUGGCGAAGGCGGCGCUCUGGACCGAGACUGACGCUGAGGCGCGAAAGCGUGGGGAGCAAACAGGAUUAGAUACCCCGGUAGUCC